CCGAAGUCCGGGAACGGGACGCUAAAAACCGCCACCAUUGCGUGAUUAGUUCGCGCCGGCAGGUACAUCUGUACUUGCUUGCCUCUCUUCUCUCUCUCUCUCUCUCUCUUGUCGCACAGGGACGUUUGGCGUCGGCGCUCGUCGGCGUUGGGCAUCCUCAAGGGGCAGCAUUUCUCGUGCCGCCGGUAUCUCGUAGCUUUCGGAACGCAAUGAGGCGGGCUCCAGGACCGGGCGGAAAUCGGGGGGCGGUAAAACGCUCACCGGUGACCGAACUAGGACCCCUGUUGUCAUAUCGGAGCGUUCCGGGGCGGCGACACCACCGGCGGGGGUGCUGUCUCAGACACAAUCAGCAGAACCCCGUGAAAACAACAAUCGUUAUGCGAUGUCGGGCGAGAGGCGUCUCGCCGAGCUCUUCGUGAGCUCGAAACAAAGCGCCACCCACAAACCACACCAAACUCUGAAUCUGAACUCAAAAGGAGGCGCAGCGCCCCGCGCGCCGCGCCUUCUCAACCUUUAACGUU
rnacentral:misc_RNA from 1 species